rfam:Clostridium celatum DSM 1785 genomic scaffold Scfld21, whole genome shotgun sequence.
ACUUACCACCGAAGCUACGGGCUUGCGUAAGCAAGCGGUAGGGGAGCGUCGUAAUCGGGCUGAAGUCGUACCGUAAGGGAGCGGUGGACUGAUUACGAGUGAGAAUGUUGGCAUUAGUAGCGAGAUGUAGGUGAGAAUCCUACAGGCCGAAUAUCUAAGGUUUCCUCAGGAAGGCUCGUCCGCUGAGGGUUAGUCGGGACCUAAGCCGAGGCCGAAAGGCGUAGGCGAUGGACAAUCGGUUGAUAUUCCGAUACCACUACCAUCGUUAUUAUCGAGGGUGUGACGGAGAAGGAUAGUGUGUGCUAGCGAUUGGAAAUGCUAGUCUAAGCGUUUAGGGAGUUACGGUAGGCAAAUCCGCUGUAACAAUUCUGAGGCGUGAUGGGGAAGGCCCUUGAGGCUGAAGUACAUGAUUCCAUGCUUCCAAGAAAAGCAUCUAGAGAGAGAAGUAGUGCCCGUACCGCAAACCGACACAGGUAGAUGAGGAGAGAAUCCUAAGGCCGGCGGAAGAAUUGCAGUUAAGGAACUAGGCAAAUUGACCCCGUAAGUUCGCGAGAAGGGGUGCCUGCGAGAGCAGGCCGCAGAGAAUAGGCCCAAGCAACUGUUUAGCAAAAACACAGGUCUCUGCUAAAGCGUAAGCUGAUGUAUAGGGGCUGACGCCUGCCCGGUGCUGGAAGGUUUUGAGGGGAACACUUAGCGCAAGCGAAGGUGUGAACUUAAGCCCCAGUAAACGGCGGCCGUAACUAUAACGGUCCUAAGGUAGCGAAAUUCCUUGUCAGGUAAGUUCUGACCCGCACGAAUGGCGUAAUGACUUGGGCACUGUCUCAACUGCAAAUCCGGCGAAGUUGUAGUGCGAGUGGAGAUGCUCGCUACCCGCGAUUGGACGGAAAGACCCCGUAGAGCUUUACUGCAGCUUAGCAUUGAAUUCCGGUAUUGUCUGUACAGGAUAGGUGGGAGACUGGGAAACUAGGGCGUCAGCCUUAGUGGAGUCAACCUUGGGAUACCACCCUGACAGUACUGGGGUUCUAACAGGACGCCAUGAAACUGGUGACUGGACAUUGUUAGGUGGGCAGUUUGACUGGGGCGGUCGCCUCCUAAAAAGUAACGGAGGCGCCCAAAGGUUCCCUCAGAACGGUCGGAAAUCGUUCGUAGAGUGCAAAGGCAGAAGGGAGCCUGACUGCGAGACCUACAAGUCGAGCAGGGACGAAAGUCGGGCUUAGUGAUCCGGUGGUACCUCGUGGGAGGGCCAUCGCUCAACGGAUAAAAGCUACCUCGGGGAUAACAGGCUGAUCUCCCCCAAGAGUCCACAUCGACGGGGAGGUUUGGCACCUCGAUGUCGGCUCGUCGCAUCCUGGGGCUGUAGUAGGUCCCAAGGGUUGGGCUGUUCGCCCAUUAAAGCGGCACGCGAGCUGGGUUCAGAACGUCGUGAGACAGUUCGGUCCCUAUCCGUCGCGGGCGUAGGAAAUUUGAGAGGAGCUGUCCUUAGUACGAGAGGACCGGGAUGGACUGACCUCUGGUGCACCAGUUGUUCCGCCAGGAGCAUGGAUGGGUAGCUAAGUCGGGAAGGGAUAAACGCUGAAAGCAUCUAAGCGUGAAGCCUCCCUCAAGAUGAGAUUUCCCAUAGCAUAAGCUAGUAAGACCCCUUGAAGAACACAAGGGUGAUAGGUCAGAGGUGUAAGUGUGGUAACAUAUUUAGCUGACUGAUACUAAUAGGUCGAGGGCUUGACCAA